rnacentral:rRNA from 1 species
AACGUAGGGGGCAAGCGUUGUCCGGAAUCACUGGGCGUAAAGGGCGCGUAGGCGGCAAUAUAAGUCAGGUGUGAAAAGUGAGGGCUCAACCGUUAGAGUGCACCUGAUACUGUAUAGCUUGAGUAUGGGAGAGGGAAGCGGAAUUCCUAGUGUAGCGGUGAAAUGCGUAGAUAUUAGGAAGAACACCAGUGGCGAAGGCGGCUUUCUGGCCCAAAACUGACGCUGAGGCGCGAAAGCGUGGGGAGCAAACAGG